rnacentral:lncRNA from 1 species
GUGUGUCUCGGCCGUGUGGCCCCUGCAGUCUAAUUUUUCUAACUUUUUCUUAUACUUUUCGAUUGUUUCCGAACUGUUCUUAAGUUAUUUUUAGGGCCUCGAGGGCUCGAUUAAGGGAUGUUAUGUAUGUGUUUUAAUGUAUUAGAUUAUGUUUACAAUAAUGUACGAAAUGAACAUUUUAAUGUUACGAUUGUAUGGUAAUCUCCGUAACCCUACUUCGGUGACGAAUACUGGCUAGGGGUGUUACAUUU